GUUGCUCUGGACUCCAGCCAUGCCGUGAGAACCAGCCCCGGCCAGUGUUCCAGAGGUGAAAGACCACGUGGAGCAGAACCACGUCAUUCUACUGGAGGUCAUCGAGGACCAGCCAGCCCCAGCCGACCCGCCAGCUGACGGCAGACAUGUGGUAAGCCCAGGUCUCAAGCCUGCCAGCUUUUGGACUGGAGUUCACACCAUCGGCUCUCCUGGGUCUUCCGCUUGCCAACUACAGACCUUGUUACUGCCCAGCUUCCAUAAUCAUGUGAGCCGAUUCCUCAUGGAUCCUCUUUAAGUCCCAAUCUGAAAAAAACCUGCUCAUAUCUGAAGCCAGACGACAAUCCCAUCAGUAAAAUGAGAGCGCCUUCAGUUUUGAGGACAUCCAGCAGCUCUUUGAUGCUGUUAAAAAGGAUUAAUCAUGCGCAACAACAUGGAUGGAGCUAGAGGGUAUUAUGCUCAGUGAAAUAAGCCAGGCGGAGAAAGACAAGUACCAAAUGAUUUCACUCAUACGUGGAGUAUAAGAACAAAAGAAAACUGAAGGAACA